rnacentral:rRNA from 1 species
ACCCGCUGAACUUAAGCAUAUCAGUAAGCG